UUUUUUUUGUGCUCACUUACAGGGAAAUACCAUGUACGCUGAGAUACCUGCAAAAGAAGCAGACAAGCUAGGACCUAUGAUACAAGUGGACAGAACCUAUGUUAUAGCUCGCUUCAAAGUUUGCAAUGCAAAAAAAAAUUUCAAAUCUAUCCCAGGUCCCUAUAUGCUAGAAUUCACCUGCCAUACCAAAAUUAGUGCAGCAACCGAGCAAAUAACUGGGCCUAAGUAUAUCUACAACCUGACUCUUUUGAAAAACUCCCAGAAUUCAUCAAUGACACCAAAAAAUUCCAUGAUAUCCUUGGCAUUAUAACAGAAAUCAAUGAACCAGAGUGGAUUCCCUUCUCCAAUCAGCCUAAUCCUUCCCUACGAUGUGACAUCAGGUUGACAGAUGGAUGGGGCCAAGAGAUAAAAAUGGCAAUUUGGGGUUCAAAAGCAACACAAUUUAAUCUCCCUGAAGAUCCAAAUAUGGAAGACAGACCAGCUAUAGUGCUAUUCACAGGAUGUCUAGUGAAAUACUAUCAAGAAAAUUUUUAUGUUAGUGGGUACUCUGCAUGCCAUUUGUAUAUCAAUCCUGACAUACCAGAAGCAGCAAGCCUACUAAACAGAACACAUGGACAAUCUUACAAGAUUAAAAGAUCCGGCAUUCCAAUUGCUGAACAAAGCCUACCAGAACCUCCACCUGUACCUGAUUUUCUCACGCUACAGGAAAUGGAAGCUAUAGACCCAUACGUGUUUCCGGCAACUGGAUGCCGAUGCACUGUUACAAUUGUCCGUUUAGUUGAAACACAAAAUUGGUGGUACCCAGCUUGCAACUUAUGCAAAAAGUCAUGCUUACCAGAAGGUUCAUCUUAUAGGUGUCCAAAAUGUAACAUAUUGGACAUGUACACAUACAAAUACAAGCUGCCAUUUUUUGCUUCCGAUGGAACUGAAGAAUCAGAGAUGAUUGCCUUCGCUGCUGUUGCUCAAUCCAUAGUUGGCAAACUAGUUGAAACUUUGAUGAGAUCAAUAAGAAAUAGAGACAACAUUCCUCCUGAUAUUGCUGCCAUUGUAUCCUCAAAAUUCACCUUCUCUGUCGCAAUGGCAGAAUCUAGCUUCAGUAAACCAAAGAAAUCCUACCAAAUCAACAGCAUAUUGCACAAUUAUGGGAAACAACGUGCUCUACCAUUCCACGGUCCAAAUCAAGCUCAACUGUCAAAUGAACAUAACCAGUUAUCUGCCCAGCCUAGUGCAAGUACUUCUCCAUCAUACAUUCCUCCUGGUAGUUCACAAAAUCCUCUCCAUGAAACUCCAACCAAAAUACUACCACUAGACCAGAUCCUCCUGCAAACUCCACCAAAAAACAUAGAGAUUCCUAAAAACAGCAAAGGAGAUGACAGUAUCAUUGAUCCUACACCAUCAAUCGAAGCAAAGUCAGCAAAGAAAAGACUGCACAUUUCAGAAAGAGAUGAAGAAAAGAAUGGAGAAGAACCAUAUUCUGAAACAACUCUUGACCAAGAGAUAGCUCAACAAACAAAUCUUAACAGGCAAAGGUACUAUAUAAUUUACAACUAUAUUAGUUCUUGCUUAUAUAUUUUACAAUUACUUCUAUUCUUAGGAUUAAAUUUAAUGUAUGCAUUUGACAUACAAGGAUAGCCACUAACAAUUGUUAGUAUCAAACUAGAGUGUCUAUAUACUUAACAAAUGCACAUACACAACCAGCCCUUAUAAAUAUUAGAAAAAAAAGUAAUGCCUCCUACUGACUAUGCAAAAACAAACUCAUAUUGGUCUCAACCAUACUAACUGGAUCAUAUCUGCAAAAUCUUUGACUUGCUAGAUUCUACUUAAUGCAUGAUCUAUAUUAGCACCAUUAACAUAGCUUAUGAUAUGAAAAUAAUAUGAUUCAGACUUGGUUUUUUUUAGAUCUAUGACAUAUUAAUAUUGAGAGCUUGUAAAUGACUUUAUGUUUGCAUACUAUUGAGAGAUCCUAUGGUUUUAAGUUAUUAAGAGCUCCUAUAUCAUUGUUCUCAAAGAAGCUAACUGCAUCUACAGAUAAUAAGAUUCAAGGAUCCAUUCAUGGUGACCACAGCUUUGGUUGCCCUGAUUUCCAUAGCUUAUGUUUUAUUAUGUUACAUAGUUGGUCCAUUCGAUAUAUAGAUUGGUCAUGCUAUUACAUCCUGAAAAUUCCGACAUUAUUUAGAACAUUCUAAAUUUAAAACUCUGAAAAAAAAGGUUUUAUGCAGUCAGUUUAUUUUAUGUGUUUAAUUGAUACGUCACCAACAUAUACAUGAUAAAUUAUAUUAACCCUUUAUCAAUUAAUAGUACGCAAACAAAUCACCGAUCAGCACUAAGAAGUAAAACUAUAGUUAUCAACAUUCAGAAUUUUGAAUUUUAUACUACUGACACAUUCUACUCCAUAAAUCACCAGCAACGUGCAGCGAACAGCGGCAUCACCUGCAGAAAAGAUCAGUUCCUCUAGAAGCUCAAAGAGCCCUAAGAAAUGACAAGAUCAGCAUUUAGUCAGCUUUCCCGGCCUUACCACCGGACACUACCUAGCAACCAAAACUCGACGAAGCAGUGGCAGCGCCAGAACUUUGAUCUUGCCAAUCAAAAUUA